UGGGGAAUCUUGGACAAUGGGCGCAAGCCUGAUCCAGCCAUGCCGCGUGAGUGAAGAAGGCCUUCGGGUUGUAAAGCUCUUUUACCAGGGACGAUAAUGACGGUACCUGGAGAAUAAGCCCGGCAAACUUCGUGCCAGCAGCCGCGGUAAUACGAAGGGGGCUAGCGUUGUUCGGAAUUACUGGGCGUAAAGCGCACGUAGGCGGAUUGUUAAGUCAGAGGUGAAAUCCCGGAGCUCAACUUCGGAACUGCCUUUGAUACUGGCAAUCUAGAGUCCGGAAGAGGUUAGUGGAAUUCCCAGUGUAGAGGUGAAAUUCGUAGAUAUUGGGAAGAACACCAGUGGCGAAGGCGGCUAACUGGUCCGGUACUGACGCUGAGGUGCGAAAGCGUGGGGAGCAAACAGGAUUAGAUACCCACGUAGUCCCUGAGCGGGCUGGCAAGGCGCAU
rnacentral:rRNA from 1 species